rnacentral:lncRNA from 1 species
UUGCCGCAUGAGCCGGAAUGUAUUUCCUCCAUUACUUUCCUCGCCUUUUCUCCUUCCAGGCACGUCAGGAGUGGUCCGGAGAAUCUCCAUUUGUAGAUUUCGCCGUCCACUGUUACGUAGCGUGCGGCCUGUUUUCGGACCUUGCGAGCUGCCCAUUUUUCGGCGGGCAGUUGCCCGUCGACAAUGUAGUCUCGAAUCGUCUGAAGCCAU